rnacentral:rRNA from 1 species
UACAUGGGGUGCAAACGUUGCUCGGAAUUAUUGGGCGUAAAGCGCACGUAGGCGGUUUGUUAAGUCGGAUGUGAAAUCCCUCGGCUCAACUGAGGAAGUGCAUCCGAAACUGGCAAGCUUGAGUACGAAAGAGGGUCGCGGAAUUCCCGGUGUAGAGGUGAAAUUCGUAGAUAUCGGCAGGAACACCCAGGGGGAAACCAGUCGACUGGGCAUCUACUGACGCUGAGGUGCGAGAGCGUGGGGAGCGAACCGG